rnacentral:rRNA from 1 species
CCUACGGGUGGCAGCAGUGGGGAAUAUUGCACAAUGGGGGAAACCCUGAUGCAGCGACGCCGCGUGAGUGAAGAAGUAUCUCGGUACGUAAAGCUCUAUCAGCAGGGAAGAAAAUGACGGUACCUGACUAAGAAGCCCCGGCUAACUACGUGCCAGCAGCCGCGGUAAUACGUAGGGGGCAAGCGUUAUCCGGAUUUAUUGGGUUUAAAGGGUGCGCAGGCGGCGUGUCAAGUCAGCGGUAAAAUGUCGGGGCUCAACCCCGGCCGGCCGUUGAAACUGGCGUGCUCGAGUUGGAGAGAAGUAUGCGGAAUUCGUGGUGUAGCGGUGAAAUGCAUAGAUAUCACGAAGAACCCCGAUUGCGAAGGCAGCAUACCGGCUCCACACUGACGCUGAGGCACGAAAGCGUGGGUAUCGAACAGGAUUAGAUACCCCAGUAGUC